GUUGUUGAUAAUAUUGGAACAAUGUCAGGUGGAAGUAUAGCUGCAUCUUCUGUUUCGAAUGAAAAUGAUUCCUUAUCAUUCGAACAAUACCAAAGUUAUCGCUCCCAACACCCGGGACCUCUCUCAGAGAGGUCCUUCAAUAAAUGGAAACGUAAUGGCGGUAUGGAUGAGCCCUCCUUUAAAUGGAGGGCUCAUCCAUACCGGGGUGUUGGGAGACACCGAAGAAAAAACAGCAACCAAAAGGUUGUAAAUGUCUUCUAUC
rnacentral:misc_RNA from 1 species